AUUUCACCAACGAUGACGAGGGCAUAAACAACGAUGUAUAGCGAUGAAGAGAAUCUUAUGUAGGGUGAAAUCCAAAAAAUCUACAUACAGCUAGUACAACGGAAAAUAGAAUAUUGAAGUAUUGGCUAUUGUGCUUUGUUACCCGUUUCAUCGUUGACAUCAUGGUAUAGUGGUAAACACCGAGGCCAUCAUGAGCGAAGGUUGUGGACAAUUCCAAGGUAAAACUCC